rnacentral:rRNA from 1 species
AUUGCACGCUGACGGCAGGCAUAACACAUGCAAGUCGAACGGGUGGCGGCCGGGUGAGUAAUGUCUGGGAAACUGACUGAUGGAGGGGGAUACAUACUGGCAACGGUAGAUAAUACCACAUACCAGCGGAUGUACCCAGAUUGGAUGAGCUAGUAGGUGGGGUAAAGGCUCAACUAGGCGACGAUCCAUAGCUUGUCUGAGAGGAUGACCAGCCACACUGGAACUGAGACACGGUCCAGACUCCUACGGGAGGCAGCAGUGGGGAAGAUUGCACAAUGGGCGCAAGCCUGAUGCAGCCAUGCCGCGUGUAUGAAGAAGGCCUUCGGGUUGUAAAGUACUUUCAGCGGGGAGGCGUUACCCGCAGAAGAAGCACCGGCUAACUCCGUGCCAGCAGCCGCGGUAAUUC